UCUUAAGUCCGGCAAAUAUAUACUGAUCCGCCUGCCUAUCAUUUUAUGUAUUGUUUAUGGAUUUAUUCAAUUGCUUAUCUAUUUGUUUAUUGUUCUACGUACAUGUUCAUCCUUCAGGACUGGACGCGAGAUAAUAAAAAAUUUCUAACUCCAAAUUGCUUAAACUCAGACAGACUAGAAUAUCAAUAGAAUCAACCUUGCGGGCGACACUCAGGUCAGUCUUUCCCUCCCUGCUCGCCACGCCACCAGCCCCAGAGCGCCAGGCAGACACACGUGGAGCGAGGCACAUACACACACACACACCGGCCCCUCGCUUUUCCGGCCCCGUGUGAUGUGACUACCCGGUUCCCCACCCACCCCAACCACCUGUGCCCGUCGCUUUUUUACGGCUGGCAAGUGGGAGGGCUGAGAAGGGAGGGGGAGAGGAGCCUUGAGGAACACCACUGUUGUCAGAGGUAUCACGUCACCGCUUCCACCACCCCCUGGGCCUCUCCUCGAUCCCUUCCACCUGUAAUCCAGUCCACCUCGACCGUCCAGGAACUGUUAUAAUGACGUGUUUGCCUUGAGUGAACCCAAUUAAGUACCUGACGCCUGCCUCUCCUGAGUGUCCCUGCAGCAUCAUUGCCACGCCAGGCCUCCUCACCCCCCGCAUCCUCACCACACAUGGGAGCAAUUCAUUAUCUGAUGACCUCCAGCCUCCGCUCACUCCAUCACACCAGUGUCCCUCCAGCUCCACCCCGGCGCCCAGUCCGGAGAGGGAGAGGGUCAGUGGGGAGAGGCAAGGAGGGAGGGGGGGAGCCCGGCCAGUGUAAAGCGACAGUCCAUCGCAGUUUUUUGUCCCACGCCCGCGCAGAGAUUCUAACUUUGCAAUAAUAAGUAAGUUUAAUGCCUGCAGAUUACAGUCGUGGCGGAAUGCUACACACUGGCCGGCCAAACCCCGCCUGACCAGACGUCAAAUCUUGUCUAAUUCUAUCUACGUAUCACUUGCUUUUUUUUUUUCUCAUCCUCUUUCUUUUUCUUUCUCUUUGCGUUUUGAGUAAACA